rnacentral:lncRNA from 1 species
GGAAGGUGAGUGCUCAAAUGAGGGACUGUGUGAAAAGAAAAAUAAAUGAGUGGCGACAAACUUCUUAGAGGAAUUAUGAAUUAAGUCACAAGUGUUCAUCUAAACUUUCAUCACUGCAGAGUCUCCAGUCAGCAUAUCUGACUUGUAGACACUGCUAAACCAUCUGGCAAUAAGGAGUUUAUGAAAGACUUUUGAAAGAUACAUCAACUCUUGGGCAUCAUUAUAUAAUUGUUCUGCAAAUUAAAAAAACAAGAUCAAUAACUGAUUAAAAAAAUACUCAUCACCUGAAAGAGUUAAUGUUG